UCCUGGCUUAGGACGAACGCUGGCGGCGUGCCUAACACAUGCAAGUCGAGCGGGGACAUUAACAGAACGGAAGUUUCGGACGGAAGGGAAGAUAAGUGUCUAGCGGCGGACGGGUGAGUAACGCGUGAGCAACCUGUCCUUCACAGGGGGAUAACACAGCGAAAGUUGUACUAAUACCGCAUAAGACCACGGUACCGCAUGGUGCAGGGGUCAAAGGAGGAAUCCGGUGAAGGGUGGGCUCGCGUCCGAUUAGAUAGUUGGUGAGGUAACGGCCCACCAAGUCAACGAUCGGUAGCCGACCUGAGAGGGUGAUCGGCCACAUUGGGACUGAGACACGGCCCAAACUCCUACGGGAGGCAGCAGUGGGGAAUAUUGGGCAAUGGGGGAAACCCUGACCCAGCAACGCCGCGUGAGGGAAGAAGGUUUUCGGAUCGUAAACCUCUGUCCUAGGUGAAGAGGAAGAGACGGUAGCCUAGGAGGAAGCCCCGGCUAACUACGUGCCAGCCGCUGC
rnacentral:rRNA from 1 species